UACGUAGGGACCAAGCGUUGUCCGGAAUCAUUGGGCGUAAAGAGCGUGUAGGCGGCUUGUUAAGUCUUGCGUGAAAUCUCGGGGCUCAACCCCGAGCGGUCGUGAGAAACUGGCAGGCUAGAGUGCGGGAGAGGAGAGUGGAAUUCCCGGUGUAGCGGUGAAAUGCGCAGAUAUCGGGAGGAACACCAAUGGCGAAGGCAGCACUCUGGGACGUGACUGACGCUGAGACGCGAAAGCGUGGGGAGCAAACAGGG
rnacentral:rRNA from 1 species